rnacentral:rRNA from 1 species
AUUGAACGCUGGCGGCAGGCCUAACACAUGCAAGUCGAGCGGAGCGGCGCACGGGGGAGUAAUGCCUCGGCAUCUGCCUGGUAGUGGGGGACAACGUCCGGAAACGGGCGCUAAUACCGCAUUCUAUCGGAUGAGCCUAGGUCGGAUUAGCUAGUUGGUGGGGUAAAGGCCUACCAAGGAGACGAUCCGGAACUGGUCUGAGCGGAUGAGCAGUCACACUGGAACUGAGACACGGUCCAGACGCCUACGGUAGGCAGCAGUGGGGAAUAUUGGACAAUGGGCGAAAGCCUGAUCCAGCCAUGGCGCGUGUGUGAAGAAGGUCGUCGGAUUGUAAAGCACUUUAAGUUGGGAGGCGUUAACAACAGAAUAAGCACCGGCGAACUGCGUGCCAGCCGCGGCGGUAAUAC